CAAUGAAUGUUAAGAUAUCAUCUUCUGCUUAUAAAGUUUAUGCUUUUCAUUUAAAAUGUAGCUUCUGGUCCUUAUAGCUAGUUUUCGAUCGAAGUCGAUAUGUUAGUGAAUGUGAAAUAGAUUUCACAUGUAGUUGCAAGCUGGUCUGUCGCAAUUAUACUUACCAAUUCUCUGCAUUCCUUGUUCUUAUGUAUUUUUCUGUCUUUGAUAAAUGCCCC
rnacentral:lncRNA from 1 species